UGCCUGGCUGGAGGGCUGCUGGUGUCAUCUAGAGAUAAAGGAGGAGCUGUAGGGGAUGGUACCAAGCAGGAUAUUAAUUUCAUCUAAUAUGAGACAACUUGCCUUGAAGCAGCAGGAUGGUAUUUAUAUGUAAAAAAUAACUGGCAGUACUCCACUUUGAGUAUGUGUUUCCUUCAGGUUCACAAAAGGAAAGCCCAGCAACUAUGUCCAACCACAGGAAAAUAUAGAAGGCAGUCAGAGACUGACACAGGCUAUCGACCAUGGAGCUGCUACCUGAAGAUGACUACCAGGCCAUCUGGGACCAGAUCUUCCACAAAGAUCUAUGAAAGGACCACAGAGCAUUGAACUGGCUAAUAGUUCACUGCGUACUCCCAGUGUCAGUGUGGGGACACAGAGAGGGGUGAGGGACUUGACCCAGCUGCCCCAGGGAAAUCUGCCAAGGUGUGAGAGAGACCAUUGACCAGCUCCUAUGCCUCUGUCUCUACCUCUUUCCAUGCAUGCUUGGUGUAAGCUGGAUCCAUGAAGAGGUGACAAGAGUCAGGCUGAUGACAAGAGAGGUGACACUAUACAGACACCUGACUAAACAACAGGGAUCCCGGACAACCCACUUCGACCAGUUUGUGUCCUGCAUCAGGAGCGCCCUAUGGAAAUGCAGGAACCUACUGAUGUACAGACACAUGGAGCUCAAGGAAACAGACUGUUAAAAUGUUUCUGAGUGAACUCCAGUCCUACUACUGGAAAUCAGUGGGAGAGGACUGAGAAGAUGCAGCCUAGUCCACAUUGCAAAGGGACACUUGGCAAAGGCUGUUCAAAGACACCCUGAUAGGGGGAGUGGUUAAUUAUGAAGAAGACAGCAACACAAGCAGACUUUGAAACAGUGAUGAGGACAGCAGCAGUGCAAGCAACAGUGACAGUGACAGCAACAAGGACAGUGAAUGAGCUGAGAAUGUAAACCCCAACUGGGGUUGGAACUAAGAGACUGUUGGGGAAAGGGCCGUGCACGGUCAUGUGGGAGCGCUGAGGUGUGGGUGCAUCUAUUGUAACAGGUGCGCAGGCUUUAAAUGUAUUUUAAGGUGUGUGAAGAAAAGAUGAUGCUGUCUGUAUGUCUGUCUGUAUACAAUAGAA